AUUGAACGCUGGCGGCAGGCCUAACACAUGCAAGUCGAGCGGGGUUUUCGGACCUAGCGGCGGACGGGUGAGUAAUGCGUAGGAAGCUGCCCGAUAGAGGGGGAUACCAGUUGGAAACGACUGUUAAUACCGCAUAAUGUCUACGGACCAAAGUGUGGGACCUUCGGGCCACAUGCUAUCGGAUGCGCCUACGUGGGAUUAGCUAGUUGGUGGGGUAAUGGCUCACCAAGGCGACGAUCUCUAGCUGGUUUGAGAGGAUGAUCAGCCACACUGGAAGUGAAAAGCGGUCCAGACUGCAAGGGGAGGCAGCAGUGGGGAAUAUUGACCAAUGGGCGCAAGCCUAGCUCGGGCAUGCCACGUGUGUGAAGAAGGCCUUCGGGUUGUAAAGCACUUUCAGCGGGGAGGAAGGGUGGUGUGUUAAUAGCACAUCAUUUUGACGUUACACGCAGAAGAAGCACCGGCUAACUCUGUGCCAGCAGCCGCCGUAA
rnacentral:rRNA from 1 species